rnacentral:rRNA from 1 species
UACGUAGGGUGCAAGCGUUGUCCGGAAUUAUUGGGCGUAAAGCGCGUGUAGGCGGCCCGGUAAGUCCGCUGUGAAAGUCGGGGGCUCAACCCUCGGAUGCCGGUGGAUACUGUCGGGCUCGAGUACGGAAGAGGCGAGUGGAAUUCCUGGUGUAGCGGUGAAAUGCGCAGAUAUCAGGAGGAACACCAAUUGCGAAGGCAGCUCGCUGGGACGUUACUGACGCUGAGACGCGAAAGCGUGGGGAGCAAACAGG